GAAUGGAGCAAAUGUCCUACUGAGCUCUUCAUAAACAAGGGUUUGAAGACUAUCGUUCAAAAUCAUCAAAUACUCAAGCUGAGCAGCCGCACUGUGAGACAUGUACCAUGCCUGUGCCACGUGGACAGUAGACUGGGGGGACAAUAUCAAUCAAACUACGUCGUACGUCACCGUCGAAAUGCCCGAAGAAAAGACCUGCAAGUGAACAGAUGGAUUAGUUCUUUCAGUCCGGUAGCUGUAUUACGAUGGUCCUUGCUUACCAACAAAGAGUAUGGAUGAUUCUUCUGCAAUUCCAACAAGAUGAUCAUAGACUGUACAAUAUAAUAAAAUUACAUAGAUGUU